AUGCUUCGCAAAGUUCUCGUAUUGUGUUUUUCAGCUCCUUUAAUUCAUUCAUAUUCCUCUCUAAGUUAUCCAUUCUUGUUAUCAUUUCCUCAAAUCUUUUUUCAUAUAUUUCUUUUCCAUCUGUCUCAGGAAAAUAUUGGAAGAAUUCACAAAAAAAGCUGGGCAUGGUGGCUCACGCCUGUGAUCCCAGAACUUUGGGAGGCUGAAGUGGGUGCACCACCUGAGGUCAGGAGUUCGAGACCAGCCUGGCCAAUGUGGUGAAACCCUGUCUCUAUUAAAAAUAUAAAAAUUAGUCGGGUGUGGUGGCAUGCACCUGUAAUCCCAGCCUCUCGGCAGGCUGAGGCAGAAGAAUCACUUGAAGUUGGCAGGCAGAGGUUGCAGUGAGCCAAGAUCAUGCCAUUACACUAAACUGGGUGACAAGAGUGAAAGAGUGAAAUUUCAUCUCAAAAAAAAAAAAAAAUAAGAAUUUAUAAAGAAAGUCCAGAAAACAUUGGGUUUUCUGCAAUGAAGUGUUAUGAAAACAGAUUAUUUAAAUUAUCAUAAUCAGAGUUUUAAUCUUAUUUACAAAUAAUAAAUCCAUGUAGAUUUUCAGUGCCAGGUGACAGUGUAUUUUCUGACUUUUUUACACAGCAUAAAGGUGUCAGAAUUGAGAAACUAUGAGAUUCUGCUUGUUUCAAGCCCUGGUGCUUCAUAGUUGAGUGUGAGGCACCCUGGCAGCCAUUUCUGCUUAACAAGGGACUGAACAGACCCGUGCUCUGUUUUCUGUGCUUCAUCACACACUGGCAUACUUAAAGGGGUAGUUACGGGCCAGACAAACGACAGAUGGCACACUUGCACCAAUCAGAUUUGCCAGUGCAGGAGGUUCUCCUCUCACUGCAGUACCCAGGAAAUAUGCCAUGGCUCCAUAUCCAUAUGGGAUUGCUCCAGGAGUGAAGGCUCCAGGCACAGCUGUUUGGAUGAACAGGUUUGGCCUUAACUCUGAGUCUAGGAAAUAUCAUGGAUAACCCACAUUUGGCUUACUGUAGUUCUAAGUCAUCAUUGGACAUUUCUUUUCUCUAGAAGAUGGCCCAGAGCACUAAAACUACUUUCCACCAUCAGCAGAUCCUGAAAUAGCCCUGAGAAUCAGCUUUAGUUCCUCUCAGCUACAGUCUGAAAGCAGCCCGCCUUUCCAGGACCCCGGAGAGAGAUACACCCUUCUGUGUCCCUAAAUCAUCUAAGCCCUGCAGACCUCGGUCUCAUCUGUGGACCCUGUAUCAGCCCUGUGACUCAGGCCCAGCCCCUCUCAGCCAUGUCUGAAGGCCAGCACUGCUUGCCCAGGGACCCACCCAGUGACCCAGAACAAACCAAUGCAGAAACCUGGAGGAAGCCACACCUAUCCAUAUACCAGGUAUAGACCUGCCUUCUGCAGAUUCUGAAAUAGACUCUUAUUUGGUACCACCCUACUAGCCAUGCUUCUGGGGACAGUCCAGUCCACUCAGAACCCAGACAGGAUCCAUGUUUGCUUGAGACCCUGGUAACAGCCUCACCUACUGUAUAUCUCACUAUGCACUCAGUAGAAGCUACAUGACCUACUUCUAACCCUGCUCAACUGUAAUCCCAGAGGAAAUCUGAGAGUCAGUCUGGGGACCCAACAGAAGAAGCCCUUUAUCUAGAGAAACCAGCUACACAGACUGAAAGAAGUAUUUGGUACUUGAAAUGCAUAGACACCAAUACAAAGCUGCACAGAUCAUAUGAUCCAGCAAUCCCGCCACUUCUGGGUAUGUAUUCAGACAAAAUAAAAUAAGCAUGUUGAAUUAAUAUCUGGUUUGAGUCCAUACCUUGGCUAUUGCAAAUAAUGCUGCACCAUUUACAGUAGCCGAGGUAUGGAAUCAAACUAAACUUUCAUUAAUUUAUGAAUGGAUGAAGAAAAUGUAGAAUAUUACUUGACCAUAAAAAGAAGGAAAAUCCUGUCAUUUGCAACAGCAUGGAUGAAACUUCGGGACCAUUAUGGUAAACAGAAUUUUAAAAGUCACAGGAACAAAUGCUAUAUGGUCUCAUUUAUAUGUGGAAAUACUGUAUGAUAUCACUUAUAUGUGGAAUCUAAAAAAGUUGAACUCAAAAAGUAGAGUAGAAAGGUGGUUGUCAGGGGCUCAGGGACAGGGGAAAUUGAAAGAUGUUGGUCAAAGGGUACAAACGUUUUGUUUUAAGAUGAGUAAAUUCUGGAAAUCUAACAUCCAAUAUGGGACCUACGGUUGACCAUACUGUAUUGUUCACUUCAAAUUUAUAAGAGUACAUUUUAAGUGUCCUCACUGCAUGCACGUAUACACACACAUGUGCACACAAAAGGGUAACUGUAGGUGGUGAUGCUUACAUUAAUUAAUUGGUUGUGACUAUCACUAUAUAUGUACCUGUAUAUAAAAUCAUCACAUUAUGUACCUG
rnacentral:lncRNA from 1 species